rnacentral:lncRNA from 1 species
GAAACAACUGCCAAUGCAGAGAAAGCUGGUUUCCAAGAGAAUGAUUAUACAAAGAGCUCUGACAUCAAGGCUGCUGGGAUGUUGGUGUACUACAUCCUCUCUGGUGGGAAACAUCUGGUCAUAGAGGAUUGUGACAUGCAGAAUGAUGGGCUAGAUAUUGUAGCCCAGGAUCUCAUUGACUGGAUGAUCAACAAUGACCCAGCCAUUGAUGAGGUCCUAAAACACCCUUAUUUCUGGAAUAAAAAAAUAACAGAGGAAGUGCUGAGGAAAGUGGGCGAUCGACCUGAAGUCCAGUACUACACUGAUAUUUCAAAAGCUUGCCAAAUUUGGAAAGCUGAAAAAGGCCUAACAGGAGUAGAAGCCGUCGAAAAGGCCUUCAUCGAUAAAAAGGACAAAAAUGGACAAAAAGGGGCUGUGAAAACUAAAGUUCUUGAGAUACUUGGAAAGACUGAGCAAGUCCAGAACGAAAACUUUUCUGAAAAGUUUUUCAAGCUUUGUAAAUGUGCAAAGAGCUACUCAAAAGGCAAAACGUUUAGUAAAUGGAAAUCAGAGCUUUCAGGUAAAUGGCCAAAAAUAGACAAAACUUUUCCGGAGGACUUAAUUGGCCUGCUGCGUACUUACCGCA